UACGGAGGGUGCAAGCAUUAAUCGGAAUUAUUGGGCGUAAAGGGCGCGUAGGCGGAAAUAAAAGUCAGAUGUGAAAGCCUGGGGCUCAACCUCAGAAGAGCAUAUGAAACUUUAUAUCUAGAGGGUAGGCGGAGAAAACGGAAUUCUACAAGUAGCGGUGAAAUGCGUAGAGAUGUAGAAGAACACCGGUGGCGAAAGCGGUUUUCUAGCUUAACCCUGACGCUGAGGCGCGAAAGCAAGGGGAUCAAACAGG
rnacentral:rRNA from 1 species